UACAGAGGGGGCAAGCGUUAUUCGGAAUUAUUGGGCGUAAAGGGCGCGUAGGCGGCUUUGCAAGUGACGGGUGAAAUCCCUCGGCUUAACCGAGGAACUGCCUGUCAGACUGUGAGGCUUGAGACCGGGAGAGGUGAGUGGAAUUCCUGGUGUAGCGGUGAAAUGCGCAGAUAUCAGGAAGAACACCAAUGGCGAAGGCAGCUCUCUGGGACGGUACUGACGCUGAGGCGCGAAAGCGUGGGGGAGCGAACAGG
rnacentral:rRNA from 1 species